rnacentral:rRNA from 1 species
AACGAACGCUGGCGGCAGGCCUAACACAUGCAAGUCGAGCGAGACCUUCGGGUCUAGCGGCGGACGGGUGAGUAACGCGUGGGAACGUGCCCUUUUCUGCGGAAUAGCCUCGGGAAACUGAGCGUAAUACCGCAUACGCCCUUUGGGGGAAAGAUUUAUCGGAAAAGGAUCGGCCCGCGUUGGAUUAGGUAGUUGGUGGGGUAAUGGCCUACCAAGCCUACGAUCCAUAGCUGGUUUGAGAGGAUGAUCAGCCACACUGGGACUGAGACACGGCCCAGACUCCUACGGGAGGCAGCAGUGGGGAAUCUUAGACAAUGGGGGCAACCCUGAUCUAGCAAUGCCGCGUGAGUGAUGAAGGCCUUAGGGUUGUAAAGCUCUUUCAGCUGGGAAGAUAAUGACGGUACCAGCAGAAGAAGCCCCGGCUAACUCCGUG